rnacentral:pre_miRNA from 1 species
GUUUUCAACCGAAAAAGUCACAAACAACAAAGUUGUAUAACUCAUCAAUAUCUAUAACUUUUAUUUUGGUAAUUUGUUCAUUCGAAAAAGUAAUUUACAACAUUGUUCACAAAAUGUACAUAUCUCUUCUAUAGUUUAUAAACUAUACGAGAGAUAUGUAAUUUUUGUGAACAAUAUUACUAUUACUUUGUCGGAUAAAGAAAUGACCAAAAUAAAAGUUAUAGAUAUUGAUGAGUUAUACAACUUUUAUGUUGAUGGCUUUUUCUGUUGAAAUC